UACGUAGGUGGCAAGCGUUGUCCGGAUUUAUUGGGUUUAAAGGGUACGUAGGCGGUUUUGUAAGUCAGUGGUGAAAUAUGUCAGCUUAACUGAGAGGGUGCCAUUGAUACUGCAGAACUUGAGUACAGAUGAGGUAGGCGGAAUUGACGGUGUAGCGGUGAAAUGCUUGGAUAUCGUCAAUAACACCUAUAGCGCAGGCAGACUACUAGUCUGUAACUGACUCUGAAGCACGAAAGUGUGGCGAUCAAUCAGG
rnacentral:rRNA from 1 species